rnacentral:rRNA from 1 species
CGGGUGAGUAACGCGUGAGGAACCUGCCUCAAAGAGGGGGACAACAGUUGGAAACGACUGCUAAUACCGCAUAAGCCCACGGCUCGGCAUCGAGCAGAGGGAAAAGGAGUGAUCCGCUUUGAGAUGGCCUCGCGUCCGAUUAGCUAGUUGGUGAGGUAACGGCCCACCAAGGCAACGAUCGGUAGCCGGACUGAGAGGUUGAAUGGCCACAUUGGGACUGAGACACGGCCCAG